CCAGCAGCUGCGGUAAUUCCAGCUCCAAUAGCGUAUAUUAAAGUUGUUGCGGUUAAAAAGCUCGUAGUUGGAUUUCUGCCGAGGACGACCGGUCCGCCCACUGGGUGUGCAUCUGGCUCGGCCUGGGCAUCUUCUUGGAGAACGUAUCUGCACUUCACUGUGUGGUGCGGUAUCCAGGACUUUUACUUUGAGGAAAUUAGAGUGUUUCAAGCAGGCACACGCCUUGAAUACGUUAGCAUGGAAUAAUAAGAUAGGACCUUGGUUCUAUUUUGUUGGUUUCUAGAACUGAAGUAAUGAUUAACAGGGACAGUCGGGGGCAUUCGUACUCAACAGUCAGAGGUGAAAUUCUUGGAUUUGUUGGAGACGAACUACUGCGAAAGCAUUUGCCAAGGAUGUUUUCAUUGAUCAAGAACGAAAGU
rnacentral:rRNA from 1 species